AACGCACCUUGCGCUCCUGGGUUAUUCCUAGGAGCAUGCUUGUUUGAGUGUCAUUUUCUUCUCAGCCCCGCUUCUUUAUUGAAGUAGUUUGGGUCUGGAUCAUGAUGGUUUGUAGUCUUUUUGAAGAGUACUCCAUUGAAAUACAAAAAGCUGAAUCGACAGACUUGCGGCUUGACCUAUUGUUGUAAAAACUAAAGAGUUCGUCAAUAGGGACGCAUUAAAGUUGAACGGGCUUACCACAAAUUAAUAAAUCCUUUCUUUAGGAACUUAUUAGACCUCAAAUCAAGUAGGACUACCCGCUGAACUUAA
rnacentral:misc_RNA from 1 species